rnacentral:rRNA from 1 species
UACAGAGGGUGCGAGCGUUAAUCGGAAUUACUGGGCGUAAAACGCACGUAGUCGGCUUUGCAAGUCGGGUGUGAAAUCCCCGGGCUCAACCUGGGAACUGCAUCCGAGACUGCAUUGCUAGAGUAUGGGAGAGGGAAGCGGAAUUUCUGGUGUAGCAGUGAAAUGCGUAGAUAUCAGAAGGAACAUCAGUGGCGAAGGCGGCUUCCUGGACCAAUACUGACGAUCAGGUGCGAAAGCGUGGGGAGCAAACAGG